CCUACGGGAGGCAGCAGUGGGGGAUAUUGCACAAUGGGGGGAACCCUGAUGCAGCGACGCCGCGUGGGUGAAGGAGCGUUUCGGCGCGUCACGCCCUAUCGGCAGGGAAGCAGGAGGACGGUCCCUGACUAAGAAGCCCCGGCUAACUACGUGCCAGCAGCCGCGGGAAUACGUAGGGGGCAAGCGUUAUCCGGAUUUACUGGGUGUAAAGGGGGCGCAGACGGCAGCGCAAGCCAGGAGUGAAAGCCCGGGGCCCAACCCCGGGACUGCUCUUGGAACUGCGCGGCUGGAGUGCAGGAGGGGCAGGCGGAAUUCCUGGUGUAGCGGUGAAAUGCGUAGAUAUCAGGAGGAACACCGGUGGCGAAGGCGGCCUGCUGGACUGCGACUGACGUUGAGGCCCGAAAGCGUGGGGAGCAAACAGGAUUAGAUACCCCGGUAGUC
rnacentral:rRNA from 1 species